rnacentral:rRNA from 1 species
UGGGGAAUAUUGGACAAUGGGGGAAACCCUGAUCCAGCAAUGCCGCGUGGGUGAUGAAGGCCUUCGGGUUGUAAAGCCCUUUUGGCGGGGACGAUGAUGACGGUACCCGCAGAAUAAGCCCCGGCUAACUUCGUGCCAGCAGCCGCGGUAAUACGAAGGGGGCUAGCGUUGUUCGGAAUUACUGGGCGUAAAGGGCGCGUAGGCGGCCGUGCAAGUCAGAUGUGAAAGCCCUGGGCACAACCCAGGAGGUGCAUUUGAUACUGCAUGGCUAGAGUGUCGGAGAGGAUGGUGGAAUUCCCAGUGUAGAGGUGAAAUUCGUAGAUAUUGGGAAGAACACCGGUGGCGAAGGCGACCAUCUGGACGACAACUGACGCUGAGGCGCGAAAGCGUGGGGAGCAAACAGGAUUAGAUACCCUGGUAGUCCACGCCGUAAACUAUGCGUGUUGGACGUUGGCGAGCCUAGCUCGUCGGUGUCGCAGCUAACGCGUUAAACACGCCGCCUGGGGAGUACGGCCGCAAGGUUA